UUUUGGAGGGGCAAAUUUGGUGCCAGCAGCCGCGGUAAUUCCAGCUCCAAUAGCGUAUAUUAAAGUUGUUGCAGUUAAAAAGCUCGUAGUUGAACCUUGGGCCUGGCUGGCCGGUCCGCCUCACCGCGUGCACUGGUUCGGCCGGGCCUUUCCUUUUGGUUAACCGCAUGUGCUUAAUUGGGCGUGGGUGGGAUCCAGGACUUUUACUUUGAAAAAAUUAGAGUGUUCAAAGCAGGCCUUCGCUCGAAUACAUUAGCAUGGAAUAAUAGAAUAGGACGUUCGGUUUUAUUUUGUUGGUUUUCGGAACCACGUAAUGAUUAAUAGGGAUAGUCGGGGCCAUCCGUAUUCAAUUGUCAGAGGUGAAAUUCUUGGAUUUAUUGAAGACGAACUACUGCGAAAGCAUUUGGCAAGGAUGUUUUCAUUAAUCACUGAACGAAAGUUAGGGGAUCGAAGACGAUCAGAUACCGUCGUAGUCUUAACCAUAAACUAUGCCGACUAGGAUCGGAC
rnacentral:rRNA from 1 species